CCUACGGGUGGCAGCAGUGAGGAAUAUUGGUCAAUGGACGAGAGUCUGAACCAGCCAAGUAGCGUGAAGGAUGACUGCCCUAUGGGUUGUAAACUUCUUUUAUAUGGGAAUAAAAUGUUCCACGUGUGGGAUUUUGUAUGUACCAUAUGAAUAAGAAUCGGCUAACUCCGUGCCAGCAGCCGCGGUAAUACGGAGGAUCCGAGCGUUAUCCGGAUUUAUUGGGUUUAAAGGGAACGUAGGUGGAUUGUUAAGUCAGUUGUGAAAGUUUGCGGCUCAACCGUAAAAUUGCAGUUGAAACUGGCAGUCUUGAGUACAGUAGAGGUGGGUGGAAUUCGUGGUGUAGCGGUGAAAUGCUUAGAUAUCACGAAGAACUCCGAUUGCGAAGGCAGUUCACUGGACUGCAACUGACACUGAGGCUCGAAAGUGUGGGUAUCAAACAGGAUUAGAUACCCGGGUAGUC
rnacentral:rRNA from 1 species